rnacentral:misc_RNA from 1 species
GAUGAAGAACGUAGCGAAAUGCGAUAAGUAAUGUGAAUUGCAGAAUUCAGUGAAUCAUCGAAUCUUUGAACGCACAUUGCGCCCGGCAGUAAUCUGCCGGGCAUGCCUGUCCGAGCGUCAUUUCUCCCCUCGACCCCGGCUCUGCCGCGGCGUCGGUGUUGGGGCGCUACGGGGAGCCUCGCGCUCGACCCCGUAGGCCCCGAAAUGAAGUGGCGGCCCCGCCGCGGCGCCCCCUGCGUAGUAGCUCUUACAACUCGCAUCGGGUCCCGGCGGAGGCCAGCCGUCAAACCCCCCAAUCUUUAUGAUGUUUGACCUCGGAUCAGGUAGGGUUACCCGCUGAACUUAAGCAUAUCAAUAAGCGGAGG